UGGGGAAUAUUGGACAAUGGGCGAAAGCCUGAUCCAGCCAUGCCGCGUGUGUGAAGAAGGUCUUCGGAUUGUAAAGCACUUUAAGUUGGGAGGAAGGGUUGUAGAUUAAUACUCUGCAAUUUUGACGUUACCGACAGAAUAAGCACCGGCUAACUCUGUGCCAGCAGCCGCGGUAAUACAGAGGGUGCAAGCGUUAAUCGGAAUUACUGGGCGUAAAGCGCGCGUAGGUGGUUUGUUAAGUUGGAUGUGAAAUCCCCGGGCUCAACCUGGGAACUGCAUCCAAGACUGGCAAGCUAGAGUAUGGUAGAGGGUGGUGGAAUUUCCUGUGUAGCGGUGAAAUGCGUAGAUAUAGGAAGGAACACCAGUGGCGAAGGCGACCACCUGGACUGAUACUGACACUGAGGUGCGAAAGCGUGGGGAGCAAACA
rnacentral:rRNA from 1 species